GUAUAAAACACAACAGUACAGGAAAUGGCAAUCAAACAAGGUGGGAGUGAAGCAGGGCUGGAGGAUAGAGUAAAGUGCUGCCCUAUAGGAGAGAGCAAGAGACAGGUGUGUAAGGUAGAGGUUACUCUGGGAGGCCAUAAGCUUUCCUAAAUUUUAACCAGGAAAGGUACAUUCAGAUUACUCUGGUUUUAGGUACGUCCUGUGGAUGUUACCUUGGCCCAACAUCCAGGGGUUGCAUAUCGUGCCCCACAAGCAAACAUUGUAGCUGUG